rnacentral:hammerhead_ribozyme from 1 species
AGCCAGCUGACGAGUCCCGAAUAGGACGAAACGCGCGUCCUGGAU